UAGGGAAUUUUGCGCAAUGGGCGAAAGCCUGACGCAGCAACACCGCGUGCGGGAUGACGGCCUUCGGGUUGUAAACCGCUGUCAGCAGGGAAUAAAUAUGACUGUACCUGCAAAGGAAGCAUCGGCUAACUACGUGCCAGCAGCCGCGGUAAUACGUAGGAUGCAAGCGUUGUCCGGAAUUAUUGGGCGUAAAGAGUUCGUAGGCGGUUCGAUUAGUCGGGUGUUAAACCCCCAGGCUCAACCUGGGGCAGCCAUCCGAAACUGUCGUGACUAGAGUUUGGUAGGGGAUCACGGAAUUCCUGGUGUAGCGGUGGAAUGCGCAGAUAUCAGGAGGAACACCAAUGGCGAAGGCAGGUCUCUGGGCCAUUACUGACACUGAGGAGCGAAAGCGUGGGGAGCGAACAGG
rnacentral:rRNA from 1 species